AGUGAACGCUGGCGGUAGGCCUAACACAUGCCAGUCGAACGGCAGCACAGAGGAGCUUUCUCCUUGGGUGGCGAGUGGCGGACGGGUGAGGAAUACAUCGGAAUCUACUCUGUCGUGGGGGAUAACGUAGUGAAACUUACGCUAAUACCGCAUACGCCCUACGGGUGAAAGCAGGGGAUCUUCGGACCUUGCGCGAUUGACUGAGCCGAUGUCGGAUUAGCUAGGUGGCGGGGUAAAGGCCCACCAAGGCGACGAUCCGUAGCGGGUCUGAGAGGAUGAUCAGCCACACUGGAACUGAGACACGGUCCAGACUCCUACGGGAGGCAGCAGUUGGGAAUAUUGGACAAUGGGCGCAAGCCUGAUCCAGCCAUACCGCGUGGGUGAAGAAGGCCUUCGGGUUGUAAAGCCCUUUUGUUGGGAAAGAAAUCCAUCUGGUUAAUACCCGGGUGGGAUGACGGUACCCAAAGAAUAAGCACCGGCUAACUUCGUGCCAGCCGCCGCAGUAA
rnacentral:rRNA from 1 species